GGACACCCAAUGCUUGAUCGUAGCCCGACCAAGAGCCUCGAGAAGCCCUCUGUUAUCCGCUAGGUUGAUCAUAGAUUAAAACAUUCAAUGACGAGUACAAAGAGCAUCAGUGAGAGGAGUUCCCCUAUCUCAGCCCAUGACCAUGACGAGUACAAGCCCUCUGUUUGGAUAUGCAUGGAAAGUUUUUCUUCGAAUUAAAUUCCAAAUAUUGUUUGGAAGAUUGGUACCAUGGAAUCUCCAAUGUGAUCCAACAAACGCUACUUUCUCUCUCUCUCAUGCUUCUUUCUCCUCACUCUCUCUCUCAUGCUUCUCUUUCUCCUCUCUCUCGUCCUUCUCUCUCCUCACUCUCUUUCUCUACCCUCUCUCAUCCUUCUCUCUCUCCUCUCUCUCAUCAUUCCUAAUAGUUGCCUCAUCAGGUCACUAGGUCAUCUUCUUGGCAAACGCACACAGAAAAAAUGACAGAAGUCUAGCUGAUUCCCAGCAUAUGCACAUAGGUAUUGUAUAUACAUGUAGGAAAAUGACUUGGAUGACAUACAAACAGAUACAAUCUGCA
rnacentral:lncRNA from 1 species